rnacentral:rRNA from 1 species
UACGAAGGGGGCUAGCGUUGCUCGGAAUCACUGGGCGUAAAGGGUGCGUAGGCGGGUCUUUUAAGUCAGGGGUGAAAUCCUGGAGCUCAACUCCAGAACUGCCUUUGAUACUGAAGAUCUUGAGUUCGGGAGAGGUGAGUGGAACUGCGAGUGUAGAGGUGAAAUUCGUAGAUAUUGCAAGAACACCAGUGGCGAAGGCGGACUCACUGGCCCGA